ensembl:snRNA U6 U6 spliceosomal RNA
GUGCGCUUGCUUCGGCCACACACAAACUAAAAUUGGAAAGAUGCAGAGUUAGGAUGGUCCCUGUGCAAGGAUGACACGCAAAUUCAUGAAGCAUUCCUUUUUUUU